rnacentral:rRNA from 1 species
UGGGGAAUAUUGCACAAUGGGGGAAACCCUGAUGCAGCGACGCCGCGUGAACGAAGAAGGUAUUCGUAUCGUAAAGUUCUGUCCUAUGGGAAGAUAAUGACAGUACCAUAGAAGAAAGCUCCGGCUAAAUACGUGCCAGCAGCCGCGGUAAUACGUAUGGAGCGAGCGUUGUCCGGAAUUAUUGGGCGUAAAGGGUACGCAGGCGGUUUAAUAAGUCGAAUGUUAAAGAUCGGGGCUCAACCCCGUAAAGCAUUGGAAACUGAUAAACUUGAGUAGUGGAGAGGAAAGUGGAAUUCCUAGUGUAGUGGUGAAAUACGUAGAUAUUAGGAGGAAUACCAGUAGCGAAGGCGACUGUCUGGACACAAACUGACGCUGAGGUACGAAAGCGUGGGGAGCAAACAGG